GGGGAUAACAGUUGGAAACGACCGCUAAUACCGCAUAACCGCUAGUAUCGCAUGAUACGGACGGAAAAGAUUUAUCGGUAUGAGAUGGACCCGCGUCUGAUUAGCCAGUUGGCAGGGUAACGGCCUACCAAAGCAACGAUCAGUAGCCGGCCUGAGAGGGUGAACGGCCACAUUGGGACUGAGACACGGCCCAAACUCCUACGGGAGGCAGCAGUGGGGAAUAUUGCACAAUGGGGGAAACCCUGAUGCAGCGACGCCGCGUGAGUGAGGAAGUAUUUCGGUAUGUAAAGCUCUAUCAGCAGGGAAGAAAAUGACGGUACCUGACUAAGAAGCCCCGGCUAACUACGUGCCAGCAGCCGCGGUAAUACGUAGGGGGCAAGCGUUAUCCGGAUUUACUGGGUGUAAAGGGAGCGUAGACGGUUAAUCAAGUCAGAAGUGAAAACCCAGGGCUCAACCUUGGGACUGCUUUUGAAACUGAGUAGCUAGAGUGCAGGAGAGGUAAGCGGAAUUCCUAGUGUAGCGGUGAAAUGCGUAGAUAUUAGGAGGAACACCAGUGGCGAAGGCGGCUUACUGGACUGUAACUGACGUUGAGGCUCGAAAGCGUGGGGAGCAAACAGGAUUAGAUACCCUGGUAGUCCACGCCGUAAACGAUGAA
rnacentral:rRNA from 1 species